AUUGAACGCUGGCGGCAUGUCUUACACAUGCAAGUCGAACGGCAGCGCGGGGCAACCUGGCGGCGAGUGGCGAACGGGUGAGUAAUAUAUCGGAACAUACCCUAGAGUGGGGGAUAACGUAGCGAAAGUUACGCUAAUACCGCAUACGCACUAAGGUGGAAAGUGGGGGAUUCGCAAGAACCUCAUGCUCAUGGAGUGGCCGAUAUCUGAUUAGCUAGUUGGUGAGGUAAAGGCUCACCAAGGCGACGAUCAGUAGCUGGUUUGAGAGAACGACCAGCCACACUGGAACUGAGACACGGUCCAGACUCCUACGGGAGGCAGCAGUGGGGAAUUUUGGACAAUGGGGGGCAACCCUGAUCCAGCAAUGCCGCGUGAGUGAAGAAGGCCUUCGGGUUGUAAAGCUCUUUUGUCCCGGGAACGGAUAAUAGACUGUACCGGGAGAAUAAGACCCCGGCUAACUCCGUGCCAGCAGCCGCGGUAA
rnacentral:rRNA from 1 species